AUUGAACGCUGGCGGCAGGCCUAACACAUGCAAGUCGAGCGAGCGGCGGACGGGUGAGUAAUGUCUGGGAAACUGCCUGAGGGAGGGGGAUAACUACUGGAAACGGUAGAUAAAACCGCAUACCAUCAGAUGUGCCCCGGUGGGAGUAGCUAGUAGGUGGGGUAACGGCUCACAGAGGCGACGAUCCCUAGCUGGUCUGUGAGGAGGACCAGCAAAAGGGGAACUGAGAAACGGUCCAGAAGAAUAAGGGAGGCAGAAGUGGGGAAGAUGGAAAAAUGGGCGCAAGCCUGAUGAAGCCAUGCCGCGUGUGUGAAGAAGGACGGCGGGUUGUAAAGCACUUUCAGCGGGGAGGCGUUACCCGCAGAAGAAGCACCGGCUAACUCCGUGCCAGCAGCCGCGGUAAUUC
rnacentral:rRNA from 1 species